GGGCCCAGAAGGGGAAGGAGAAGGGGCCCGGGGACAGAGUGCCCUUUUAGCACCCUGCGGCACCCCACCCCCUCUCUCCUCAG
rnacentral:miRNA from 1 species